rnacentral:rRNA from 1 species
UGGUGGAGUGAUUUGUCUGGUUAAUUCCGGUAACGAGCGAGACCUCAGCCUACUAAUUAGUUUUACGUAUCUUUUGAUAUGCUAAGACAUCUUAGAGGGACUAUCGGUGUGUAGCCGAAGGAAGUAUGAGGCAAUAACA